UUGCGAUGGUGAAAUGGUGGGCUCUUCCCCUUCUGUCGUUCUUUUUUGCAUGUGUGCCUUAGCUUUUCUCGGGUGAUUGUAUUUGCGGGUCAUUAGAGAGAAAACAGGUUAAAACAUUAAAAACAACCACAGCCGCAAGAUCUCAUUAAAAGAGAUCCAACAACUGAGUGCAUAACACUAUUUGAGGGAUCCCUCAACUGAAGGGGAUUGUAUACCUAUACCACCAUGUCAAACACAAAUAGGGGAAUAACUUUUGGUCUUGGA
rnacentral:lncRNA from 1 species